rnacentral:rRNA from 1 species
UACGUAGGGGGCGAGCGUUGUCCGGAAUUAUUGGGCGUAAAGGGCACGCAGGCGGUCUCUUAAGUCUGAUGUGAAAUCUCGUGGCUUAACCACGAGCGGUCAUUGGAAACUGGGGGACUUGAGUACAGAAGAGGAGAGUGGAAUUCCACGUGUAGCGGUGAAAUGCGUAGAGAUGUGGAGGAACACCAGUGGCGAAGGCGGCUCUCUGGUCUGUAACUGACGCUGAGGUGCGAAAGCGUGGGGAGCGAACA